AUCGGGGACACCCAGGCCAUCCUGAUGCUUAGGGAAAAAAGCUCACUGCCGAGGCAAGCAUGAUUUCUUACAUUUCCAAAUAAAGGAAGAGCUUAGGCAUGGCAUCAGAUCUAGAGACUGUGAUGGGGGAGCAUAUAUAGGGAAUAAGACCGUGUAGGUAACAGUAUGCCCUUAACCACUGCCACUCGACCCAGGAGAGAAAGGGGAGAUCCACCCAAUUAGAAAGCUGGGUACCUAUUUUUUCAAUCUUGGAAGAAAGUUGAGACAACUUGGCUAGGAUGUAAAUACCAAGAUACUUCAAUUUAGAAGGUAACAACCAAUGGCUCCAGUUCCACGGCAAAAAGCUGGGGUUUCAAACCAUUGAUCGCUUGGAAUACCUCAGCAGAAGUAAUCCACUGGAGGAGGUAAUCAAACUGCAUUUUAGUAGUCUGUAGCCAAUCCCAAAAUAUAGAUUUAUUGCUGAAAUUCGUUUCAUCCUGAGAGUAUAAAGAGUCAUAGAAUUCCUCUGCACAAGUCGAUAUAGUGGUAAUUUCCAAAACCCGUGACGCUGCUACCAGGAAGUGACCAACAGGACCCUAAGCAGGCGAGUGCAGCAGCUGCUGCACCGCACGGUGUUCGAGACACCACGGACUGGUAGACAACAGCACUGGAGGAUACAGGCACGGAAGCUGAGCCGGCACAGGCGCGCUGAACGCACCCCCGGCGGAACCUACACACCCCUUUAAAGUCGGAGACAGAGUCGUGGUGAAGGUGCUCCCCAGGAACAAGAACCCAGGAGACUUCACCUACGGUCCAGAGACAGAGGUCGUAGCAGUAACCAGAACAGCAGUCCUGACAGAGGAAAGCCCCACCUGGAUCCAUGCAUCCCGAGUGAAAAAGGUUCCUAGACCAGACCUAGAGAGGGAAGCAAGUGAUUCCAGCGAGGUACGAACGGGGGCAGACAGCCCUGACCUCCCACCUAGCGAAGACAGAAGAACAGAGGAGGAUGAGGAACCUGUCCCCUACCUCUAUCCUGGGGACUAUGUUGAUAAUCCUAAUGGUCCUCACUUGCCAAGCUACAGCUGAAGUAGACAUUACACAAAAAUCCGGCACCUACACAUUUUGGUAUAACUCCUCCAAUACUGAGGUUGCCGCCUAUAAAAUAGAUUUCUGUACCAUUGCUCCCUGUCUUAACAAACAUUAUGCCUGGCAGUGUGAUCAGUAUGGUACACGUAAUACCCCCACUGAAGCCUAUAUUUGUGUUACUAGUAAAUAUUGGGGAAAUAAAUGUGCGUAUUGGGGAUCAGUGGGAUGGAAUUCUGGCCAUAGUUAUGGAUACCAGCCCAAAGAGGCUCUCUCAAGAAAAGACAAAUAUGGUGAGUCCCUGCUUACCCGUCUUACCCUUCAUAGACAAAACAGAUGUGAUAGUAAAUUCAUAUUAAGCAUAAAACAUCCCCAGUCUACUGAUGCAGGCACCUAUGUCCUAGGUGAAUCCUUUUUUUUAAACCCAUCCCUUACACCAUUCUUGUUACAGGAUAUGCUUAACAAUGAAAAGUAUGCCCAGCUCAAGCCCCCUAAACCACGCCCCAACCUCUUGAAACCUCAUAUAACCACCUUCAAGGAUAUGAUGGCCGUUAACAAUCCCACCUUUAAAGACACCCUAGCUAUUGAAACUGGUUUCUCUGACAUCAAUUUCUGGUUAGAAUGGAUGAAGUAUAGUGCUAGCAAACAUAAUAAAAGUAACUGCUAUGUCUGUGGCAAAUCUAGGCCCCACCUAGGUACAGUGCCCCUUAAUAUACCCCUAGAACAGGAACAUUGUUUUUUCAGCCUUUUUAAUGACACCAAAACAAAUGACAGUCAGUGCGAAAUGUGGAAAAGGGAAUAUCCCAUAUUGUCAAAAAAUCCCAACCCAGGAAGCACCAUAACCAUAUAUCCUGGAAACUAUACCUGUUACACAUCUAACACUACCACAGGUAGAAAUUUAAAAACCUUCCCACCAGGGUACUGUGCAAAUAAAAGAACAACUGUUUUAGUCAACCAAACUAGAUCAUUAGGCGACAUUUAUUACAUAUGUGGGGAUAUGAAACUUAGAAGUAAAUUAGACACACCAUGGUAUGGUGAGUGUGCCCUGGCCAAAGUCAUAAUGCCACUCCUAAUGAUCACCGAUGACCCCACUCCUCCCUCUAAUACUCCUGCUAAUCGAAAGAAAAGAGCACUCCCAGGAGGUAGCUUUGACCCCCACGUAUACAUUGAUGCUAUAGGGGUCCCAAGAGGUGUUCCAAAUGAGUUCAAAGCUAGAGAUGAGGUGGCUGCGGGUUUUGAAUCAUUGUUCCCUAUAGUAACUGUAAAUAAAAACGUAGCCUGGAUUAAUUAUAUAUAUUAUAAUCAACAAAGAUUUGUUAAUGAUACCAAAGAUGCUCUUAAAGGUAUAGCUGAACAGCUAGAAGCCACUUCCCAAAUGACCUUCCAAAAUAGAAUGGCCCUUGACAUGAUUCUAGCAGAAAAAGGCGGUACAUGUGUUUACAUUAGUAAGGUGGAAGGCUGUUGUACAUAUAUUCCUGACAACACUGGUCCCAACGGUAAGGUUACUUUAGCCAUAAACAAGUUAGAAACCUUAUCCAUAGAACUUAAGAAAAAUUCAGGUAUUGAUAACCCAUGGAGCCAAUAUUUUGGGUGGUUUGAAAAUUGGAAACAGGCUCUUGUGCAAAUAAGCAUAUUCAUACUUGUAACUUUAAUUCUUUUAGGCAUUAUAGUUUAUUGUGUAAUUCCCUGUGGAAAGAAACUUACCUCCAAAGGCAUUGAUAAGGCCCUGAUGUACUAUGAUAUAACCACCAGUCCUGUCACCUCCUCUGAUAGUAAGGGACCCGACGAUUAUGCCCAAUAUCUCAAGAACUGGAGGAACAAGAAAGGAGCCUCACUUAAGAAUCAUGUCAUAUAACAAUCAUGAUUCUAAGAGGGGAUUGAAGGGUUAAAUCUCCUCUGUCAGUGUGCAUUGUGUAAAUAUUGUUUCUUUUUCUUUUGCCUUGGAUUUAGCUUGCAUUGCAUAAAAUGAAUAUAGCUCCACCCAUAGUUUGUUGGGAACUGUGUGAAAUCACCACCCCUAGAUGAAGUACUAGGCUGUAUCCUACAUCCCCCCCCAUGUAGCCUGUUUUAUCCCUCCUAUGCAGUAAAGUUAAACCAAUAAAGUAUUUACUUUUGCCUACCCCUCCCUGGACAUUCCAAUCCCUCCCUAGACAAUGAUGCCUUAUAUACCAUUGUUAUGAACAAUAAACGGAGAGUGAUUCUUAA